rnacentral:rRNA from 1 species
GUGCCAGCAGCCGCGGUAAUACGUAGGUGGCAAGCGUUGUCCGGAAUUAUUGGGCGUAAAGGGAGCGCAGGUGGGAAUAUCAGUCUGUCUUAAAAGUUCGGGGCUCAACCCCGUGAUGGGAUGGAAACUAUAUUUCUUGAGUGCAGGAGAGGAAAGUGGAAUUCCUAGUGUAGCGGUGAAAUGCGUAGAUAUUAGGAGGAACACCAGUGGCGAAGGCGACUUUCUGGACUGUAACUGACACUGAGGCUCGAAAGCCAGGGUAGUGAACGGGAUUAGAUACCCCGGUAAUCCUGGCCGUAAACGAUGGGUACUAGGUGUAGGAGGUAUCGACCCCUUCUGUGCCGGAGUUAACGCAAUAAGUACCCCGCCUGGGGAGUACGGCCGCAAGGUUGAAACUCAAAGAAAUUGACGG